rnacentral:rRNA from 1 species
UACAGAGGUCUCAAGCGUUGUUCGGAUUCAUUGGGCGUAAAGGGUGCGUAGGUGGUGACGUAAGUCUAAUGUGAAAUCUCGGGGCUUAACCCCGAAAUUGCAUCGGAUACUGCGUGACUAGAGGACUGUAGAGGAGAUUGGAAUUCACGGUGUAGCAGUGAAAUGCGUAGAUAUCAAGAGGAACACCGGAGGUGAAGACGGGUUGCUGGGCUGACACUGACGCUGAGGCGCGAAAGCUAGGGUAGCAAACGGG